CCUACGGGGGGCAGCAGUAGGGAAUAUUGCUCAAUGGGGGAAACCCUGCAGCAGCAACGCCGCGUGGAGGAUGAAGGUUUUCGGAUUUUAAACUCCUUUUGUUAGAGAAGAUAAUGACGGUAUCUAACGAAUAAGCACCGUCUAACUCCGUGCCAGCAGCCGCGGUAAUACGGAGGGUGCAAGCGUUACUCGGAAUCACUGGGCGUAAAGGGUGCGUAGGCGGGAUAGCAAGUCAGAUGUGAAAUCCUAUGGCUUAACCAUAGAACUGCAUUUGAAACUGUUAUUCUAGAGUAUGGGAGAGGUAGGUGGAAUUCUUGGUGUAGGGGUAAAAUCCGUAGAGAUCAAGAGGAAUACUCAUUGCGAAGGCGACCUGCUAGAACAUAACUGACGCUGAUGCGCGAAAGCGUGGGGAGCAAACAGGAUUAGAUACCCUUGUAGUC
rnacentral:rRNA from 1 species